rnacentral:tRNA from 1 species
CCUCUGGUGGUCUAGUGGUUAAGAUUUGGUGCUGUCACCACCAUGGCCUGAGGUUCAUUUCCCGGUCAGGGAA